UCCCUGGUGGCUCAAAAGGUAAAGAAUCUGCCUGCAAUGCAGGAGACUCGGGUUCAGUCCCUGACUCGGGAA
rnacentral:tRNA from 1 species